rnacentral:rRNA from 1 species
GACGAACGCUGGCGGCGUGCUUAACACAUGCAAGUCGAACGGAACUUCUUGGAUAGAGGCUUCGGCCAAUUGAAUUGAAGUUUAGUGGCGGACUGGUGAGUAACGCGUGAGGAACCUGCCUUUCAGAGGGGGACAACAGUUGGAAACGACUGCUAAUACCGCAUGACACAUUCGGGCGGCAUCGCUUGAAUGUCAAAGAUUUUAUCGCUGAAAGAUGGCCUCGCGUCUGAUUAGCUAGUUGGUAGGGUAACGGCCUACCAAGGCGACGAUCAGUAGCCGGACUGAGAGGUUGACCGGGCCACAUUGGGACUGAGAUACGGCCCAGACUCCUACGGGAGGCAGCAGUGGGGAAUAUUGGGCAAUGGACGCAAGUCUGACCCAGCAACGCCGCGUGAAGGAAGAAGGGCUUUACGGGUUGUAAACCUCUUUUACCAGGGACGAAGAACGUGACGGUACCUGGAGAAAAAGCAACGGCUAACUACGUG